ensembl:lncRNA
GAGACUUCAAGGGAUGCCUGGGGAUCCAUGAAACGUUUCAGAGAAAUUCGAGAAAACUAAAAGUAUUUUAAGGCUGUCAAAGUUAGUGUGUUAAGAUAAAAACUGGUCAGCAAUCAUUAGAUUAAAUUCCAAAAUUGGUCAGCAAUCAUUAGAUUAAAAUAUAUAUGAUAAUUAAUUUUAAUUUUUUGCAAUUGGUAACAAGUCCAACGCAUUGCAAAGGUCAUACACUGGAUCUUGUGCUUACAAAUGGAACAUCUGUAUCUCUGUUAUCAUCCGUUGAUAUUGGUCUGUCGGACCACUCAGCUGUCUUCUCUGAUUUGGAAUUAUAUCAACCAAGUGUGUGUGUCACUCAAUCUGUAACAUUCCAGAAGUGGAAAUCUAUUGAUCAUACAUCUUUUUCAAAUUCUGCUGUUUCCAUCUUAGGUGAUUUGCAUUUAACAUCGUUGGACAAGAAAGUUUCACAGUUUAAUAAGACUCUUAUUGCUAACUUGGACACCUUUGCUCCUCUGAAGACACACAAGACCUUCAGAACAGCUGCUAGUCAGCCUGUCGUUCUCUCAACGGAAGCCUGAAACCGGAGCCAUGAGUGAAUGCCAAACUUUUCAGGAAAAGACCUACAUGUUCUGCCCCCUGUGAGCUGACAACUCCUUGCCAUCAAAGUCAACGAUGCCGCUUUGCUGCGAAGAGAUGAAGAUCUGCUGUUGCCUGCGGACAGCUGGGUUUUACACAGUGGGUGCAAAGAUGUGAAAGAGGGUAAGGAAUGCUCUGGUAUUUGGAGUUCACAUGAAUUCAGCAUCAGGGCUAUGCAGUUUUUUCCCACAUAAAUACAUUUAUUUCUACGCUUUGUACAUUAAACUUGUUGCAACAUCCCUAUUCUCAAACUGAUUUUCAUUCCAAAUACAAAUUUGUAACAUUAUAAAUGAUAAUUGUAAUUUGAUAAAUUGUUUAUUGAUGCAUCUUUUGUGUGACUAUUUAUGUGAAGUUUGCUGUUAUAAGCAUAAGCCAUUAGUUAUAGUUAAAAUAGAUACCUAGAAGCCAGUUUCGCGAUUAUUAGCAUCUGUCGAUAACCAAUCCUCUUUGGCUGAUUGAAUAAUAAACAUUUUGUUUUCAAUAAUUGUUUUGUCUUU